ensembl:lncRNA
UGCCUUGAAGAAAAGUCAUUUUUAUUAAAAGUAAUAUACAAAAGGAAUAUCUGACGUUAGGUUGCUAUAAAACGUAGAUAUGUACAUUAUAUAUACACAUAAUAACAUGGGGGCAAGGACCUCGAGUCCUGAAUACAGUAAGUAGGGACGCUGGUAUGCGAGGAGUGAAGCCUUACUGGGUUUGUGAGUUCUGGAGUCCAUGGGUGUCCUGAUCAAAAUCACUGAACGGCUGCAACCACAUUUAUCCAUUGUAUCUAUAGUUUUAGGCUAAUAUAUGCAAACAUAGCAACUGCAGUUAAGUUAUAUGGGGGAAAAAUGUAAGGAUGCAGUCGAUAAUUGGACCCAACACCAGCGUACAAAAGGCACCCCCAGUAAUUUGAAAUGUGGAGACAAUUUGGAGACAAUAGCCAGAAGGGAUUUUAUCAGUGUGUUUGUUAGUGAGGUGAUCCUGGUUCUCACUUUGUCCCCACUGUGCAUCACAGUACCUCUACAGCCAUGGAAAAAAAUGGACGUUUAUACAGCUAUAUAUAAGAGUUAUCAAGAACAAAAUCUUAAAGUGAAGACAUUUUGGAGAGCUAGUUUUGUGGAGUUUUUGUCUACCUACGGCAACAAAAAUAGAACCAUUUCAAUCAGAUCAAUUAUAAAAUAAUUGUCGGCAAUGGAGUUUCUGUGAUUGUACUGUUUGAUUUUUCUUUGACUACUCACAACUAUUCCUCCGCAGCCAACCCCUCCCUGUAUUUCCUGUCUCCUUUAGCACAAAACAUUCAUCAGACGUUGUCAGGACACUGUGGGUUCAUCCUGCCCUCUUGUUUCCAAGACGAUAGGACAGGAAGUUUCAGACAUGAUUGGCAUCACACAACACCAUCUCUGAACCGACAUAGAGCUAGAAACAGAAGAAAGGAGCACGUCCUUGUAAGACACAUCAACACAGUGCACCACGAGGGCUGGGUUCAUCAUGUCUAUAUUGGAGUAUAAAAAUAUUUCCUAUCUGAAACCCAUCACUAUAUUCUAUAAUACACAUAAUUGAUGCCAAGUGAAGGUUUCUCACCGGGCAUAUCAACAAUGCUUUUACCAUUCUAAGCAUUUUAAGGUUUGUACUUGUUUUUUGGCAAAUGGAUUCUGCAAUCAAGACUGAGAAUCAUCCACUAGUGCAAUUAGACCGUGAUUGAAAGGGAAAGUCUUUGACAAUAGUCUAGAGGCUCUAGAAUCUCUUGCAUAUGAGAACGGAUAACUUACACAUAUCAAGGAACAAGCAACACGAUUGACAGCUUUCUUCGUCUAAUCAAUUUUCCUUUAGUUACAGUGCCUUGCGAAAGUAUUCGGCCCCCUUGAACUUUGCGACCUUUUGCCACAUUUCAGGC